AUGAUGGAGCUACCAGGGAGGCAUUAUUGGGUCUUUAGUGUCAACUUGAGGGACGGACGCUUCGAAGUUCUUGAUUCAAGCAGGACGCUGGACAACAUUGAGCUGAUGAACAACGCCUCUACCAUUGCGGGGGCAGUACGCCAGCUAUGGAGGAAGCAUUACCCAAAGUUCAGCUUCGAGCACUUCCAGAUAAUUGACAUUGACGUACCAAAGCAGCUUGGCAAUAAUGAGUGUGGGUUGUUUGCACUGCUUAACGCCACCGAGUGGAAUGGUAGCCAACUGCCCAACUACGACCCCAAGGAAGUACUCAACAUCAGGAAGAAGCUGGCGUAUGAUUGGGUCACCAGCGUGCACAACACCGCCCCAUGGAGGAAGUUGCUGAGAUACGACAAGGAGUAG
rnacentral:rRNA from 1 species